rnacentral:rRNA from 1 species
UACGUAGGUGGCAAGCGUUGUCCGGAUUUACUGGGCGUAAAGAGCGCGCAGGCGGUCGGAUAAGUCGAAUGUGAAAGCCCCUGGCUCAACCAGGGAGGGUCAUUCGAUACUGUUCGACUCGAAGGCAGGAGAGGGAAGUGGAAUUCCGGGUGUAGUGGUGAAAUGCGUAGAUAUCCGGAGGAACACCAGUGGCGAAGGCAACUUUCUGGCCUGUUCUUGACGCUGAGGCGCGAAAGCUAGGGGAGCAAACGGG